rnacentral:rRNA from 1 species
GAUGAACGCUAGCGAUAGGCUUAACACAUGCAAGCCGAGGGGCAGCAUGGUCUUAGCUUGCUAAGACUGAUGGCGACCGGCGCACGGGUGCGUAACGCGUAUGCAACUUGCCUCACAGAGGGGGAUAACCCGUCGAAAGACGGACUAAUACCGCGUACACUUGGGAUAGGGCAUCCUGACCCAAGGAAAUGAAAUUCGCUGUGAGAUAGGCAUGCGUCCCAUUAGCUAGUUGGUGAGGUAACGGCUCACCAAGGCGACGAUGGGUAGGGGAACUGAGAGGUUGAACCCCCACACUGGUACUGAGACACGGACCAGACUCCUACGGGAGGCAGCAGUGAGGAAUAUUGGUCAAUGGGCGAGAGCCUGAACCAGCCAAGUCGCGUGAAGGAUGACUGUCUUAUGGAUUGUAAACUUCUUUUAGACGGGAAUAACAAGAGCCACGUGUGGCUCCCUGCAUGUACCGUAUGAAUAAGCAUCGGCUAACUCCGUG